UACAAACUAGGUCAAAUUAAGACAAGCACAGUAAAAAAGGAGGUUAGGGAACACAGCUAAUUAACUCUUAAUUACUGUUAGUUAAAAAAUUAUACGUUUUGUAGAGGUGGAAUUUGUACAACACAAAUAAUUUAUUGUUUUUACUUUCCUGAGGCCUCGAAAUCUUAGCCAAAAACCGGGAUUAGAUACCCCGUUAUUUAAGAUUUAAAUUUUAAUUUCAAAGACUUUACUUGAGUAUUACGGGUUCCGUAAAUUUGAUAUUUACGUUAUUAACCUAAAACUCAAAAAACUUGGCGGUGCCUUAUAUCCUUUCAGGGGAACCUGUCCUAUAAUCGAUAGUCCACGAUCUACCUUUCCUUUAUUUGAAUUUAAACAGUCUGUAUACCGUCGUCGCCAGAUUACCUCCUAGAGUAAAAAAGUUAUCUGCAAGAAAAAUGUCAGUGAAGCAUUAUAGAAAUUAUUUAAUGCCAUUAAUAUUGUCCGAACGUCAGAUCAAGGUGCAGCUAAUAUAAAGGAAGAGAUGGGUUACAAUAAAAAGUCUUUACACGAACAACUUUUUGUAAAUACAAGUUUGAAGGAGGACUUGAAAGUAAUUUAGAGAAAUAGAAAGUCUCAGUGAAAAUGGCCCUAAGGCGUGC
rnacentral:rRNA from 1 species